rnacentral:rRNA from 1 species
CCAUCGACAAGAUGGAGGAAGGUGGGGAAUGACGUCAAGUCAUCAUGGCCCUUAUGUCCAGGGCGACACACGUGCUACAAUGGCCGGCACAACGGGAAGCGAGUUCGCGAGGACGAGCGGAUCCCUCAAAGCCGGUACGCAGUUCGGAUUGAAGUCUGCAACUCGACUUCAUGAAGCUGGAAUCGCUAGUAAUCGCGCAUCAGCCAUGGCGCGGUAGAAUACGUUCCCGGGCCUU